UACGUAGGGUGCGGAGCGUUAAUCGGAAUUACUGGGCGUAAAGCGUGCGCAGGCGGUUCGUUGUGUCGGCGGUGAAAGCCCCGGGCUUAACCUGGGAAUGGCCGUCGAAACUGGCGAACUGGAGUGUGGCAGAGGGGGGGUGGAAUUCCGCGUGUAGCAGUGAAAUGCGUAGAGAUGCGGAGGAACACCGAUGGCGAAGGCAGCCCCCUGGGCUGACACUGA
rnacentral:rRNA from 1 species